CAAUUGCGAAGGCAGCUUUCUGGAUCAUUACUGACACUGAGGAACGAAAGCAUGGGUAGCGAAGAGGAUUAGAUACCCUCGUAGUCCAUGCCGUAAACGAUGUGUGUUAGACGUUGGAAAUUUAUUUUCAGUGUCGCAGGGAAACCGAUAAACACACCGCCUGGGGAGUACGACCGCAAGGUUAAAACUCAAAUGAAUUGACGGGGACCCGCACAAGUAGUGGAGCAUGUGGUUUAAUUCGAAGAUACGCGCAGAACCUUACCAACACUUGACAUGUUCGUCGCGACUCUAAGAGAUUAGAGUUUUCGGUUCGGCCGGACGAAACACAGGUGCUGCAUGGCUGUCGUCAGCUCGUGUCGUGAGAUGUUGGGUUAAGUCCCGCAACGAGCGCAACCCUCACUUUUAGUUGCCAUCAUUAAGUUGGGCACUCUGAAAGAACUGCCAGUGAUAAGCUGGAGGAAGGUGGGGAUGACGUCAAGUCCUCAUGGCCCUUACGUGUUGGGCUACACACGUGCUACAAUGGCAUCUACAACAGGAAGCAAAACGGCAACGUUAAGCAAAUCCCGAAAGGAUGCCUCAGUUCGGAUUGCACUCUGCAACUCGAGUGCAUGAAGCUGGAAUUACUAGUAAUCGUGGAUCAGCGUGCCACGGUGAAUGCGUUCCCGGGUCUUGUACACACCGCCCGUCACACCAUGGGAGUUGGUUCUACCUUAAGGCAAGGUUUCAAACCCUUGACCACGGUAUAGUCAGCGACUGGGGUGAAGUCGUAACAAGGUAGCCGUA
rnacentral:rRNA from 1 species